rnacentral:lncRNA from 1 species
GUCGGCGAAACGUGCUAUCUAUUCGGUCCUAGGAAACAGUGACAUUCGAGACGAAGAAUUGAUUACCGCAUUUACUGCUGCCGAAAGUCUGGUCAACUCCCGUCCCUUAACCUAUCAGACGACAGACCCAAAAGAUGUUACACCGUUAACACCAAACCAUUUCCUACACGGGCAAGUGGGUGGAGAAGUGGCUCCCGAAUCGGUUGACUACACCAAUUUUAACUUACGGAAUCGGUGGCGAAGAGUGCAACAACUACUCAAUCAGGUGUGGACGAGAUGGUUGAAAGAAUACCUUCCCACAUUAAACAAGCGUCCGAAGUGGACGGAAAUAGUGAACGACAUGAAAACGGGCGACGUUGUUCUUGCGUUAGAUCACAACCUACCAAGAGGUCGAUGGCCUCUAGGACGGAUCAUCGAGACGUAUCCUGGAAAAGAUGGUCACACGCGAGUGGCAAAAGUUCAGUGCGGAGACAGAACCUUAGUUCGACCAAUACACAAGUUAGUACCGCUGUUUCAAGAAAACUGAUGGAACAGUGUUAGUUGAACAGUUAGUUUAGAUACGCACUCUACGCAGUGCGGGGAGGGGGAAUGUUGUUAAGAUAACUGUAUUUUGUAGUUAAUUCAUAGUUGACAUUUUAUGGUUGACAUUUCGAAACAGUAAACUUGGGCAACCUAUGUCCAAUGAGGGGUUGCUAGGCAACGGGUUUUAAGGACGUUCGAAAAACGUUGUUCGUGAGAUUUUAUGAGGGAAAUAUUACUUUUAUUAUUGUUCUUUUCGUUUAUUUUUGUUAAAUUAAAGUUUAUAAAAAGAGUUUCGAGUCUUGAGAACA